CCUACGGGUGGCAGCAGUGGGGAAUAUUGCACAAUGGGGGGAACCCUGAUGCAGCGACGCCGCGUGAGUGAAGAAGUAUUUCGGUAUGUAAAGCUCUAUCAGCAGGGAAGAGAAUGCCGGUACCUGAGUACGAAGCCCCGGCUAACUACGGCCCAGCAGCCGCGGUAAUACGGGGGGGGCAAGCGUUAUCCGGAUUUAGUGGGGGUAAAGGGAGCGUAGACGGCGAAGAAAGUCCGAAGUGAAAGCACGGGGCUCAACCGCGGAACUGCUUUGGAAACUUGCUUGCUGGAGUACGGGAGAGGUAAGCGGAAUGCGCGGUGUAGCGGUGAAAUGCGUAGAUAGUAGGAGGAACACCAGUGGCGAAGGCGGCUUACCGG
rnacentral:rRNA from 1 species